rnacentral:rRNA from 1 species
GAUGAACGCUGGCGGCGUGCCUAAUACAUGCAAGUCGAGCGAACAGACGAGGAGCUGGCGCCCCUGACGUUAGCGGCGGACGGGUGAGGAACACGUGGAUAACCUACCUAUAAGACUGGGAUAACUACGGGAAACCGGAGCUAAUACCGGAAAAUAUAUUGAACCGCAUGGGGCAAUAGUGAAAGAAGGUUUUGCGGACACUAAUAGAUGGAUCCGCGCAGCAUUAGUUUGUUGGGACGGUAAAGGCUUAGCAAGGCAACGAUGCUGAGACGGCCCGAGAGGGUGAUUCCACACCCUGUCACUGAGGCACGGCCCCCACUCCUACGCUAGGCCGCAGUAGGGACUCUUACGCGAUGGACGAGAGCCUGACAGAGCAACGCCGCCUGAAGCAUGAACGUCUUCGGCUCGUAGAGCGCUGUUAUUAGGAAAGAACAAAUGUGUAAGUAACUGUGCACAUCUUGACGGUACCUAAUCAGAAAGCCCCGGCUAACUACGUG